CCCCCAAGUCGUUGCUCCUAGGCAUAGGAGUGAUGACUUUAGAUAUGUGCCCAAGUGCAGAAGGAAAUCUCCUUGCAACCUCUCUUGAACAAAAGUGGACGAGGAAGUUGCUCGUCAAAGCAUUGCUCGUAGCAAGUAUCUGCAAUGUUUUGCUCGAAUCGAUUUUUCGAGGGUGUUUAAUACCCUGCUCGUGAUUAUGGUUACGAGGAAGUAUGCGUUGCUCGUAUCUCCUGCGAGGAGAUGUUGCACGAGAUGGAACAGUUGCUCGUUGCUAUAGCGAAGAUGUAACAACGAGAAGCAUUGUUGCUCGCCACGAUGACGAGGAGAUAAUUCAUGCAAAAUUGUUGCUCGUUUGAUGCGCCGGAGGAGAUAGCGUACGAGCACGUCUUGUUGGAAGAAAUAUGUUUAUUUUUUAUUUUUACGAGGGGGUGUAUAAACCGUUGGAUCAAAGCGUUCCCUUGCUGUAGUGGCCUUUAAUUUCUUUAAAUAGAGGGGAGUGGAUUUAUUUUUCACAUUCCACUCUCUCUCUUCGUUUGUUGCUGCUAGGAUUCUCUGGGAGCUUUGCUCAAGUGUCAAAUCUCGUUCUUUGAAUCCUCUUCGAAUUCGAGGUAUUCCUCAAAUUUCUUCUUAUGAUUUGCUUGUUUAGAUCUAGUUUUUAUUGUUUUUUGCUCAGUUUGGGUGUUUUUCCGGAAAUUUGUAUGAAGAACACGAUGAACAUAGGACGAAUUUUGGGUAGAUUUAGGAGUAUUUAGUUGUAAAUCCGAGCACCCUUUAUAAUAUGAACGCCGAGCACCCCUUUGUUUGGGAAAGAAGGGUAGUGAAUCCGAGCACCAUUUAAAUCUGGGCAUGAUUACGUCGAGCACCCCAUUUAAACCGGGGAGCUUCGUCCCCUUCAAAUAACUUUUAAUGGGUUUUAAUCCGGGGAGCUUGUCCCCCUUGCGCUUCGAAUCUGCGCAAAGAUUCCGACCGGGGAGAACUUGAAGUUGUAAUCUGCUCGGAACAAUAACAGUUAAAUUUUCCUGCUCGGAAUGCCUCUGCUCGGCAUAAGUCUGCGUGUUAAAUUUUCCUGCUCGGCAUAUUCUCCUCCGUGCCCGGUAUAGGGGCUUUAAAUCGUGCUCGGGACAGCUUUGAAUCGUGCUCGGUACAGAGCUUGGAAACGUGCUCGGUAUAGAGCUUUGAAACGUGCUCGGUAUAGAGCUUUGAAUCGUGCUCGGUAAGGACCUUUAAAUCGUGCAAGUGACUCUGAGCACAUCGAGCGCCCUUUGUAAUAUGAGCAUGAUUACACCGAGCACACUUUUGUAUUUAAGGGUAGAUUUACGCCGAGCACCGUUGAGCACCCUUUGUAUCUCUUUUUUCCUAUUACUCCGAGCAUGGGACUAUUAUAUCCGAGCAGCCUUUUUCUGGGUAGAUAACCGAGCACGGAUUUUUGUUGUGAAAAAUUCGUGAUGGGGAGCCUCCUCCCCGUUUUUAACUUAGAAAAUUUUUUUUCAAACGAAUCUUGUUGUGAAAAAUUCGUGAUGGGGAGCCUCCUCCCCGUUUUUAACUUAGAAAAAUUUUUUCAAACGAAUCUUGUUGUGAAAAAUUCGUGAUGGGGAGCUUCCUCCCCGGUUUGUGUG
rnacentral:lncRNA from 1 species